AAGUCGGUGUCAGUUUGCGGUGGUGGUUUGGUUGGUUGGAUGGAGGAAGAGAGUUCUGCUGCCAAGACAGGCAGAUAAAUAAAUUUUCUGUGAUCCGUUAUUUAGAAAUUAAUUGAUUGAUUAAUUAAUUUACUACUGUAAAUAUCAUGUCAAUCAGUAAUUAAUUAAUUAAUUGUAGUAUAAUAGUCAUUAGUAAGGUGUAAGGGUAGUAGAUCGCCGGCCAAAAUCAACAAGAGUUCAAAUUUACUGUGUUCAAAACUCUGUGAUCUCGCUUGAUGAUCUCUGAUAAAUAAUUGAAAUAGGAACUUUAAAUAAAUAAAUUAAAAUAAAUUUAUAAAUAUGGAGAAGAGAGGAAGUGGUGAAAUGAAUAUGUCUGGGGUGUCGGAAUCUGGAGGGUUAUCUUCGCCACGAGAGGGGGAGGAAGAGGAGGAAGAUUGUUCGUCUCCCUCAGUUCCGCCGGUCAAGCGGAGGAAGAGCGAGAUGACGGUGGUGGUGGAGGAAGAACAAGAAGAUAACGUCGUGUACAUGUCGACGCCGAUGUCUUAUCGAAGCAAUUCAUCGAUGGCGAGCAGCAGUGCGGGGCGCAGUGAUGUGGGGAUGAUGGGUAGUACGGAGAGAGUGAACCCCUUCGAACCAUUUUGUCUCCGUAAUUUGAAAUCGUCUAUCUUGUCACCGUCUGUCUUCCUGACGUCCACCCCCACGACGCCCAAGGAAUUCCAAGGCUGGACGAUCAACGAAAUGGCGGAAUUGUUCCCAAAGUCAUUAGAAGAUUCGCCAUCAUCUCAUACCAAUCCGUACCCUGUGGAUGCCCUACAAGAAGCCCAGGCUCAGCAAGAUAUCACCGAUUUCUUCAACGGGGGACCAAUCGCUCCCACACCAGAUGGCAUUGUUCGCAACCCAACCGCAAAUCUGUUGGGUUCGACACCUCCGGGACCACGACGACGACGUCAAAGUUGUGCGGCAAUUUCGAUGAACAGUUGGACGAAUACGGUCCUCUCCCUGCCACCGGGUGACCUGCCCGAACAAGUCGCGGCCGUGUUGGGACCAUACUUCAAUAUGGUUGAUUGCUGUUCAGAAACGUUAUCAAAGUCACUUCCAAAUAAUGACGAGCAUCUCUGGGAUUUUGAAGUAGAUGAAAGUUCUCAAACGUCAUCGAAAUCGUUUCGGUCUUUUCAAAUGAAUGCGAGGCGACGACUCGACUUGUCUUUUGCAGAUGCUGAGAAUUCACCUCCACCACGGUACCCAAUUGAAGACCCUCUUGGACCAAUGCGUCUCCUUGCAUCCCCACUUCGCACCAAGAAUUCCGACGAGUCAUCCUCCUUCUGCACUCCAGACAAUGUCAACGUCUCCAAGUCCGCAUACUUUGGCGCUGGACGGCGGGACUUCUGCACCCCGACGUCCCGUGAUGGCAACGACGAUCUGGAGGACGAGGGCGGCUGUGGAUCGGACGGGUGGCGGAGGCGACGCUCAAUCCUGUCAUCACCAGACAUCACACCAAUUCGUGGGGUGGAAGAGAAAUGAAGGCAAGGUUUUUGCACUUGGGGGGAAGGGGUUACUGGGGGAUUAACUCGAUGCAAGUUGUUACAAAAACCUUGAAAUGCGUGGAAUAUUAUGAUCGGGGAUGCAAUCAAUCUUUGUUAUCAAGUAUUUUUAUAAUAUCUAUUUUAAAAAAACUUGGUUGAAUGUUAAACUUAAAUUAUUAUGAGCCAUAUAUCAUCACAUGAAUGUUAAAUUAAUAUGAAUGAAAUGAACCAUGUCAUUGUUCAGAAGCAAUUUAUAUAUGAAUGCGUGUAGUAGAAAUUCGAAAAGUUGAAUAUAUUUGAACAAUAUAUUUUGCAUAAUUACAUUAAA